AUGGGUUCCAAUCCCAGCAAUCCAGACAGGCUGAAAGGAUUCGGCUAUGCAGAGUUUGAGGACCUGGAUUCUCUGCCCAGUGCUUUGAGUCUCAAUGAAGAGUCUCUAGGUAACAGGAGAAUUCGAGUGGAUGUUGCUGAUCAAGCACAGGAUAAAGACAGUGAUGACCAUACUUUUGGUAGAGAUAGAAAUCGGGAUUCUGACAAAACAGAUACAGACUGUAGGGCCCGUCCUGCCACAGACAGCUUUGAUGACUACCCACCUAGAAGAGGCUAUGAUAGCUUUGAAGACAAGUAUCGAGAUCUUAUGAUUCAGACCGAUAUCGGGAUGGAUAUAGGGACGGAUAUCGGGACAGCCCACGCAGAGACAUGGACCAAUAUGGGGGCCGGGAUUGCUAUGAUGACUGAGGCAGCAGAGACUAUGACCGAGGCUAUGACUCCAGGAUAGGCAGUGGCAGAAGAGCGUUUGGGAGUGAGUACCGGAGGGAUGACAACUACAGAGGUGGUGGGGACCGCUAUGAGGACCGAUAUGACAGACAGGACGACCGGUCAUGGAGCUCCAGGGAUGAAUACUCUCGGGAGGAUUAUAGGCGCGAUGACAGAGGUCCCCCCCAAAGACCCAAACUGAAUCUAAAGCCUCGGAGUACUCCUAAAGAAGAUGAUUCCUCUGCUAGCACCUCCCAGUCCAGCCGAGCAGUUUCUAUCUUUGGAGGGGCAAAGCCUGUUGACACAGCUGCUAGAGAAAGAGAAGUCGAGGAGCGGCUACAGAAGGAGCAGGAGAAGCUGCAGCAUCAGCUGGAUGAGCCAAAACUAGACCGCCGGCCCCGGGAGAGACACCCAAGUUGGCGAAGUGAAGAAACUCAGGAAAGAGAACAGUCGAGGACAGGAAGUGAGUCAUUGCAGACUGGGCCCUCGGCCACAUCUGGCAGAAAUACACGAAGGAGAGAGAGUGAGAAGUCUCUAGAAAAUGAAACCCUCAAUAAAGAAGAAGACUGUCACUCUCCAACUUCUAAGCCUCCUAAACCUGACCAGCCGCUAAAGGUAAUGCCAGCCCCUCCACCAAAGGAGAAUGCGUGGGUGAAGCAACGCUCUAACCCUCCUGCUCGAUCUCAGAGCUCAGACACAGAGCAACCGUCCCCUACAAGUGGUGGAGGCAAAGUAGCUCCAGCUCAGGCCUCUGAGGAAGGACCAUUAAGGAAAGAUGAAAAUAAAGUAGAUGGUGUGAGUGCCACAAAAGGCCAAACUGGGAGCUCCAGCCAUGGUCCCAGGGAUGGAGGGAACAGAGACCACUGGAAGGAGUUGGAUAGGAAGGAUGGCAAAAAAGAUCAAGACUCCAGGUCUGCGCCUGAGCUAAAGAAACCUGAGGAGAACCCAGCCUCCAAGUUCAGUUCUGCAAGCAAAUACGUUGCUCUUUCUGUAGACGGUGAGGAUGAGGAUGAGGGAGACGACUGCACUGAGUAG